UACGUAGGGUGCAAGCGUUAAUCGGAAUUACUGGGCGUAAAGCGUGCGCAGGCGGUUUUGUAAGUCUGUCGUGAAAUCCCCGGGCUCAACCUGGGAAUUGCGAUGGAGACUGCAAGGCUAGAAUCUGGCAGAGGGGGGUAGAAUUCCACGUGUAGCAGUGAAAUGCGUAGAGAUGUGGAGGAAUACCGAUGGCGAAGGCAGCCCCCUGGGUCAAGAUUGACGCUCAUGCACGAAAGCGUGGGAGCAAACAGG
rnacentral:rRNA from 1 species